rnacentral:rRNA from 1 species
GUCCGUACGAGCGCACCCUUGUCCCUAGUUGCCAGCACUUCGGGUGGGAACUCUAGGGAGACUGCCGGUGAUAAACCGGAGGAAGGUGGGGAUGACGUCAAGUCAUCAUGGCCCUUAUGGGGAGGGCUACACACGUGCCACAAUGGCCGGUACAGAGGGCUGCGAAGCCGCGAGGUGGAGCGAAUCUCAGAAAACCGGUCGUAGUCCGGAUUGCAGUCUGCAACUCGACUGCAUGAAGCCGGAAUCGCUAGUAAUCGCGGAUCAGAACGCCGCGGUGAAUACGUUCCCGGGCCUUGUACACACCGCCCGUCACACCAUGGGAGUGGGCUGUACCAGAAGUAGGUAGUCUAACCUUCGGGAGGACGCUUACCACGGUGUGGUUCAUGACUGGGGUGAAGUCGUAACAAGGUAGCCCUAGGGGAACCUGGGGCUGGAUCACCUCCUUU